GUUCUUAUUCUUUUUUUUUUUUUUUUUUUUUUUUUGUCCCCCAGGCCCAGGUCCUUUUUGCCUGACAACUGCAAAUCAGAGCACACAAAAUAAAAUUGUGUAGUUUUGUUUAGUUUACUUUAAAAAGACAGGAAAGCUUGAAAAAAAUGUGAAACCAUUUCAUUACUACCGUAAUCCUGCCGCAACUCAAAUCGCAUAUCAUGGGGAGAUGUUGUCCUAUCAUGGAUGUGACGUUUACACCACACUUUCAAAGACAAUCGCUGAAAAAAAAAUUGCUUUUUUUCUGAGCUAAAAAUAUGCAGAGUCUCUGCCUGGAAUCUUUAUUCAAACUCUUACUGGGCAUUGAAACACUUGCUUGCCAACUACAGAACCAUUCUAGUGGGUUCUGACUUGUUUCUUUUAAAGAGAGACACCCAUCUUUGUAACGGCAGGUUGCCAUUUUGUAAACUAAUCAAAUAUUUUGGAUUGAGAUUUCUUAAACGUUUCUUCAAAUCUUCCACAAGUAUAUACUUUUAAAUUAUGAAGUAUUUUAAAUAGACACAAAAUAUAAAUAAUAAUAUAAUGAAUCCCUGUAUACAUAACACCCAGUUUAAGAAAUCAAAUAUAACAAGUAGAGUUACAUUCCCUUAGGCGCCCUUCCCUGAGUCCACAAAUACCUUUUUCAUGAUUAUAAAGUGAUAAAGUCGAUUUUCUCUUCUGACAUUUACUUUAAUUUUUUAUUUUAAAGCUCAGAACAGAAAUGAAAAGUUAUUUGUGCAUGUUUUGAUUUAUACCCCAUGCCUCAGGAACGCCAAUUACAUUUAUUUUACUUUAGCAGAAAUGAUUGUAAAAAUGGUUCUGUUUUCUUUUCUUUUUCUUUUUCUUUUUUUUUUUUCAACAAGAACUUCUUAAGCCUAUGGUCACUAGUUCAUCUAAGUUAAUUUGUGGCUCUUUUGCCUUGGUCACCCAAAGUGACUGCCAAAGUUACAGCUUUGCAAAGUUUUCUUGGAAAACUUUGUUUUUUUCCCCUUACUUUGCUACUCUUAUCAUUGGUCUUAUAUUUUUCUUAAUGUGAAAUACAAUGGGAUUCAUUUUGGGCAGCAUGUGAAUUUUUGGAUACAAUAGUGAAACUUACUUCUGAAUUUCUGUCCUCCAAAUCCAAGAUCAGACAUGCUGAUUACCUCAAAGAGCACUGACUUUUAGACAAUUGGAAAGAGAAUGUAAUUUGCUUGAAUGGCUUCAGCAGUUUGUUUUCUAUGAAAUACUUCGGGGGAAAUCAUGUUUAGGCCCAAAGCCCAAUUUAUUGAGAGAUGGAUUUUAUCUCUUGAAGAGCAGUCAUAUUAUUAUGAAUUUUGCUAAAAGAGGAAAAUGUAUGAAAUAUUUAUACUAUAAAAAUGCAAUGACAUUCUACUUGUUUGUUACAUUUAAGUCCUCGUGUAACUAAAUGUUUACAAGCCAAAACAUUUUAAAGAGAAAGUUAUAAGAAAAUGCUGUCACAUACCCAUCACUGUGGCAUUGCCAGAAUAUUGCUUGCUUUCAAUCUUUAUAGUACAUUUUUAUCACAUAACCUCAGAGUAUCUUUACCAAAGAGUUUUAAAAUAAAUCUCUUUUUAAUAUAGACUUAUUAUACUUUUAUAAUAAUGAAUGUGCACACACACAUAUGCAGAAAUAUCUAGAUUUAGAUUUCUUUUCUUUCACAAGGUAUAAUAAGGAAAGGAUCCUACAUAUUUUAGUCCAGGAUUUCUUAAGUAUAUGAUUUAUAUUGCUUUCUUGUCUUUUCUAUUAAUCAUUUGGUUGAAACAAUGCCAAAUCACUCUUUACUCUUUUAGUUAUGUGAAAUUUUGCCUAUAACAGAGACAGAAAGAUGAUAUGACCUUAACAAUUAUAAUUCUUUUGUCUUUGAGUAUAUUGUCUUGAUUAUUAUUUAAAUUCAUAAAUAAUAGAAAAAUCAGAGUUUAUAAAAGAAAGUUUGUUAAAAUAUACAGGCUUUAAAAAAUUGUCAAGAACAUAAAUAUUUGGUAAUUCUGUGUAAUGAGAGACACGGAAAAGGAAAAAAACCCCACUAUGUCAUGGGCUCUGCACAUGGUUUCAAAAUCAAAUUUCUUCACUAUCAGGAUCCCUAGCUCACACUGACUCAAUGUGGAGUCUUAUUUGCAAGCAAAAUUGCAUUUAACUCAAAUAGCAUUAAACUCAAAACUAAGUCAUGUGUCCCAACAUAGGACAUCAAGGCUUUGAGAUGCUGGACAUCUCUGCAGCUCAAAGAUGUGGGUUCUUUUUCCUGUCGUUGAUAAAUUGUUUUUGUAGGGGCAACUUCUCAAAUCAAAAUUAUGUCAUUGGCUGUAUGCUGACUAAUGCAGCAGUUAACACUAACGCUGUUUUCUCGCCACACAAGAUUCUGCAAAGAUGUUUAUGGUGAUGUUUAAAGUAUAUAAAACUCUAACUACAUUUAAACAAGUGUUUUUAUUUGGGUUCAGAGGAAGAAAGAGAGCACUUUUACAAUGGGGCUCUAGAAGAGGGUUUAUUGAAUAUAGACAGGACUCUAAAAAACACAACUUAACAACAGUUUUCCUAGUUAGUAAAAACCCUAUUAAUGUGAACCAGCCAUGAAUAACAGUGUUAUUUCUAUUUGAUAUGGUUUGGGCUUCUCUUGUCAAAUCUGUGCCGGCUGCCCCCUGAUCCCUCCAUCAUCAAGUUUUGAAGGGUGUCGGGGAAAUUAUGGCAGCUGCUAGGGAGAUCAGGGAAACACUGGUGUGACCUCCCAGCCUCUCACCACUCCUCUUGGCUUGGAAAGGCUUCUUUUUCUCAUAGACAUUUCUAGAAAUAUUGCCAUUCUACCUUAGUAUUUCACAUUUGUAGUUUAAACAAGUGAUUGUCCAUCUGUUGCCUAGAGCUGCAGUACAUGUGUGUUAUGAAUGAAAUAUGACAGCAUGUUCCAUACCCUGCUUUAGCCAUCUGUAGGAAACCAGUAGGCUGAAAAAGAUGUACCUCUGCAAAAUGUGCCUGAAGUCCCUUUCUUGAGAUCGCUCUCUCAGUGCACUUUUGUGGGAGACAAUCAGAGAGCAACAUGUAUGUGUGCCUUAUGUGUAAAGAAUCUCUACACUACUACGAAUACUCCAGUGGAGAGUCCAUAACAUUAGCAAUCAUCUCCCAAAUUUCCAAGAUCCACUCAUCAAAAAAGAAAACAAAAUCCAGAUAAAUGUAAACUCUUUUAUCUUAAUGUAUUCUAAUAGUGUUUCUUUUCUCCUUGUCUCUCGGAGAAGUACCUUAUGGAUUCCUGAAUUAAGAGAACACUUUUAUGCCAGAAGGUGGUGUUUCAGAUGUUUAGUGAUUAUCUUUGGUCUUACUCUGAUCUUAGUCAGAUAAUGAAGGCAGACUUCAGUAUGAGCCUUUACCACCAUUCAGCACAUAUUACUUUUAGUAAUUGUCAUAGCUUUUUGGCUUGUCUGUGGUCUUAAUUUAAUAGUGGACAGAACCAGUUGGGAGCAGGAUUGAGUUCUGAGUCAUUGUGGUACGUACAACCGUGGACAUUUCAGGUUGUUAUUCAUGUGACAGAUAGCUAGAAUGAAACUCUUCUCAAGAGGCUGUUGUUUGGGGUAGCUUAUUCAAACCUUAAAAAAAAUUAUCUGAUUAAAGCUCCGUGAUUUGGUGAGAAUUCUUCCUCUUUUCCUCUUUGCCUCUUUUUCUCCUUCCUUCCCUUUUCAUUCCUGCCCUCCUUUCUUACAUUCUGUCCUUCUUUUCAUCCUACCUAUUAAUGAUAUUGUGGCUUGGAUUUUUCACAAGUAAAUUAUAUCAGUGCAUUCUGAUCUUUAUGGAAUUAUGAUCACAUUAAGGGAAGAAGACGACUACCGUCAAAUAUAUAUGGCAUCCAUAAACCCUUCCUUUUAAAAAGGGCAUAUUUUCCAGAUUGUAUUUAUUCAUAAAGCGAGAUGAGAUAAUAGAGUCUUUCAGUUUUAUUUUAAUGAGUUUUCAUCAGGGACUCAGAUCAUAGAGUUCUUGGCAAAUUCACUUAUGACUGCCCUACUUUUCUCAGCUAUAUGCAAAGUGAUCUUUCUAAGAUUAGGUUAAGAAUUUUUUUUUUAAAGUCCGAAGCAUUCUGACCGACAAAACAAUCAUAUUUUUAAGUGGUGUGGCAUGUUAUUUUAUUCCUAAUGAAACUUGGUAAUUUUCCUGCUGGCAAGGAAAAACUAUCAUCCUUCUGGAAUUUUUACACAUAUCAGCAUUUUGCCUAUGAGCAUAAUAUUAAAUCCUAAUAGUCGGAUCACAGUAUUUAACAAGGGUAGGUCAGUGCCAGAGUUUUUCCUAGAUCACAGCUCACAGGCCUGUAGUAUGUUUAUAAAAAGCAAAAAAAGCAACCUGAGAAGAACAAGUCUGGAUCUCUCAGUAAAGCAUCUUGUUAAAAUUCAGCUUUGAGAUUCUUUUGAACUCUGGCUAGUACUGAUAAAAAUAUGCCCUCUGUGUCCAUUUCUUUUUAAUUUGUUUGGAAAAAGCUUAUAAUUCUAGGGAUGUAUUUCUACUUUGCGUCUCUGCUCUCACUUCUACUUUCUUUAAGUUUUCACAGGAUUUACAUUGACUUUCCUUUUUGAAAGGGUCAUGUGUGAGGAAAGCAAAACAUAUUUAAUAUAUAGUUAAUUCAAUACGUAAGUGAAUUAGCCAAGUCUCGGUAGCUAUGUUGUUUUGAUACAGAAACAGAGUUUUGUUUGGUUUUGGUUUUUGUUCGUUUGUUUGUUUGUUUGUUUGUUUGUUUUUAACCUGUCUCCACGUAGAGUGGGAUUCAGAAGACAAAGGAGGGAUUUAAGAAAAGGGACAGUCUACAAUUAAAAUGAUGGCCAGAGAGUUUUUGUAAAGUAUAACUCUGAAAACAUUGGAGGGGUUUUAGGGAUCAGCAAUUGUAGUUGUUUGAACAAGUAAAAUAUUUAUGCUUCCAAGUUUACUAUGUAUUGAAAAAUCACUAUAGAUAACAAUAUUUGUUUCCCUUGUCAGAAAAAAGUGAAAUGACAGCAGCUGCUAGGCCCCACGACAUGGAUCAGAGCUACUCCAGAACUUUAUAAUGCAUGUCCUUUCAUCCCCUCCAAGAGAGGGGCAUAGCUCAUGCUCAGCCUGAAAGAUGGUGAUACAUAUUCUUGGGCACACCGCACUGCACCCUAAGCAUCUCUGAAGGUUAGAGGUUUCUGCUUUCACUCAUGAAAGGUUUUAUCCCUUUCCAGUACUUGCCUGAUGAUGACAGUAAGUAGAAGCUUUUAGAUCUGUGGUUCUCUUGUUGAAACCCAAUCAUCCACUAAUCUGUAAUGCCAUCCCUAAACAUCCAAAUUAUAACUUAUUUAGACUAGUUUUCUCUUUUUUAGUUGCAAACACAGAAAAUUAACUUUAUCUUACUAACUUUAAAAGAAAGAAAUAUAAAAUGGCCUAUCUUCCUUUAAAAGGACACUUAUUCCUUUCUCUAUUUUACUUUUCUGCCCCUUGUACAAAAAAGUUAUAGACACUAUUUAGUUAUCCAACAGGCAUGUGUGGCUUAUUUUGUGGAAAGUAUGGAAGAUGCAUUUUUGUUAAAUUCAUGAACAUUUCCCCUUAAAAUCACAUAAAAAAAAUUACUAAAAUCUUUGGUCUUUGUUUCUGAUUGUUACUUAAUUUAUCCACAGUCUAACCACACUAAUACAUAUCUCUAUUUCCAAGCCUUUGUUAUAAACAAAAAUUAAUAUUCUGCAAAUAAAAAGUUAUACAUACUAGAGAGAGGAGAAAACCUAUAGCUAAUUCUUUUGUAAUAAUUUAAGAUACUGGCAUUAAUCUUUCCUUACAAUACACCUUUUUAAAUUUUUCCAAGCUACUCAUUAACUUAGGGGCAAGAGAAAACCUUACUCAUUUAACUCUGAUAGACAUUUAACUGACCCAAAUGGCAGCCUUAUUAAACAACCCAUAUAAUGGAUUCAGUCAACCUGUCACUGACCAUAGCUUCUAGUUCACUUCUAAACACCAGAAGUAGAAUGAUUUACCAAGAAUAAGACAGAUGUUGCUAUAUCGUCUUGUGUUCUACACUAGCAUUGAGGGUUAUAGCUGACCCCUGACAUCCUUUGGUGGUGUUGCCAGACAAACAUAGAAUCAUGGGCCUUUUAAGAAUCGGAAUCUCUUCUGUUAUUUUGCUACCAAGUCACCAUCUCAUUUCUUAGACCUGGCCAGUAUGUAGUACUGUUCCCAGCAGUCCAUUCUACUAUUAUGGCAACUCUUUUCUACAAAAGUUCUUUCUCCUGCUGCAUAUAAUUUUUUCUGCAGGGCUUUGCAAAAACGAUUCUAAUGUCUAAAUCUUUACUUCAAGAUCAGAUAUCACUAACUCUUUCAGCUCUUUCCCAUUUAUUGACAUGAUGUCAAGUCCGAUCACCCUACUGCUUCUCCUUUGAACAGUUGUAUAAAUAGUUUCUAAUUCUAUUUCACUCUACUUGAUGAGGCCUAGUAAUCACCUUGGGUCAGGCUAGGUAGAAAAACUUUGUUCUGGAGUUGAAAAGUAAAUGGACUUGAAGUCACCCAAAAGAAACUGAUAGCCAAUGUGGAAAUUUCCACCAAGGACUCAAGACUCAGGAGAGUGGAAGGCAGAUGAGGCUAGAUCUUCCAUGUGUACAAAACAGACCUUUUACUUUGUGUCCUAUUUUU
rnacentral:lncRNA from 1 species